CCUACGGGAGGCAGCAGUAAGGAAUUUUCCSCAAUGGGCGAAAGCCUGACGGAGCGACGCCGCGUGUGGGAAGAAGGCCUUCGGGUCGUAAACCACUGUCGAGGGGGACGAUAUUGACGGUACCCCUGGAGGAAGCCCCGGCUAACUWCGUGCCAGCAGCCGCGGUAAU
rnacentral:rRNA from 1 species